rnacentral:rRNA from 1 species
AUUGAACGCUGGCGGCAGGCCUAACACAUGCAAGUCGAACGAGUGGCGGACGGGUGUGUAAUGUCUGGGAAACUGCCUGAUGGAGGGGGUUAACUACUGGAAACGGUAGCUAAUACCGCAUACCAUCGGAUGUGCCCAGAUGGAAUUAGCUAGUAGGUGGGGUAAAGGCUCACCUAGGCGACGAUCCCUAGCUGGUCUGAGAGGAUGACAAGCAACACUGGAACAGAGACACGGUCCAGACUCCUACGGGAGGCAGCAGUAGGGAAUAUUGCACAAUGGGCGCAAGCCUGAUGCAGACAUGCCGCGUGUGUGAAGAAGGCCUUCGGGUUGUAAAGUACUUGCAGCGGGGAAGCGUUACCCACAGAGGAAGCACCGGCUAACUCCGUGCCAGCCGCCGCGGUAAUUC